GCAGCCCAGUCUUGGCCCCACCGGUCACGACCCCGCUCACGGAGUCUGCGCAGGCGCCGUCGCGGGGCGUGGAGAAGCUGCUCCCUUGGGAUAAGGCCCGCGGGGAAUACUUGGAACCUUGACACCGCUGUAGUCUGCUCUCGCCGCGCUGGGUUUUAGGAGCCGUAACGACAAUAAUCGUGUCCACCAUUCUCACUACAGGCCCCGAAGCACGUAGGUGCCGUUUUUUAUCCCAACUUAACUGAAGAAAAAAAAAACACGGCCGGGCGCGGUGGCUCAAGCCUGUAAUCCCAGCACGUUGGGAGGCCAAGGCGGGCAGAUUACAUGAGACCAGGCGUUCAAGACCAGCCUGGCCAACAUGGUGAAACCUCGUCUCUACUAAAAAUACAAAUAUAUUAGCCGGGCGUGGUGGCGGGCGCCUGUAAUCCUAGCUGCUUGGGAGGCUGAGGCAGAGAAUUGCUUGAACCCUGGAGGCGGAGGUUGCAGUGAGUGGAGAUGGCGCCACUGCACUCCCGUCUGGGGGAGAGAGAGAGAGAGACUCUUGUCUCAAAAAAAAAAAAAGGACUUGUCCUCCAAUGUCAAUAACAACAAACUAGACAAAUAAAACUUCGAGGGCAUUAAGGCAAUAUGGUGUUAUGCCACAAACAGAAGGCACAGCUAACGGCCAGUAGCUGAGACGCCACCUCUGCCACAGGUCAGCUAUGUGACCCACGUGCAAAUCUCAUCACUUCCUGUCUGGUUCUGCUUCUGUGGAUGUAGAAUGGGGCAAUCAAUGGCUGUCUUGCUCAAUUGGCCAGACAUUUAAUGUGUCAACCACCCAGGCCCAACAUGUUGUGAGUUCAUGUACACCGACCAUUUUGCUAUUUCUUUUCUAUAUGUCACUUUUUUUUUUUUUUUGGUUGUUUUUUGAUACAGGGUCUUGUGUCACCCAGGCUGGAGUGCAAUGGCGCAAUCAUAGCACACUGAAGCCUUGACAACCCCAGCUCAAGCGAUCCACCCCCGUCAGCCUCCCAAGUAGUAGGCAACACAGAUGUGUGCGACUACGCCCAGCUAAUUUUUUUUUUUUGUGGAGACAAGGUCUCUCCAUGUUGCCUAGGCUGGUCUUGAACUCCUGGGCUCAAGCGAUCUUCCCCCUUCGACCUCCCAAAGCGUUAGGAUUAUGUAAAAGCAUGAGUCACUGCGCCCACCUGUCACAUCUUUUUGUUUCUUCUAUACUGCCUUAUUUUGUAGAAAGUAGCUAUUUUCUCGUAUAACAUUAAUUCCUUUAUUUUUAACUUGUCCCUCAUCUCUGUUUUGUGUUAUUAUUACCCUUAUUAUCUAUGUUACAAACCCAACCAUACAGUGUUAAUCUUGUUUUAAAAAGCUGAGAAAAAAUAUAUAGUUACAGAGUUUUUUUAACCUUCUAAUUUGCCACUUAUACUUCUGUUGAUUCCUUUGUGUAGAUUAGAGUUACACAAUUUAUUGCUAAAGAAAAUAAAUAUGGUCAAAAGUCA